rnacentral:rRNA from 1 species
CCUACGGGAGGCAGCAGUGAGGAAUAUUGGUCAAUGGGGGCAACUCUGAACCAGCCAAGUAGCGUGCAGGAUGACGGCCCUAUGGAUUGUAAACCUCUUUUGUCCGGGAGUAAAAUACGCCACGCGUGGCGUAUCGAGAGUACCGCAUGAAAAAGCACCGGCUAAUUCCGUGCCAGCAGCCGCGGUAAUACGGAGGAUGCGAGCGUUAUCCGGAUUUAUUGGGUUUAAAGGGUGGGCAGGCGGAAGGUCAAGCCGGUGGUAAAAUGGGGGGGCUCAACCUGUUCGGGCCGUUGGAACUGGGUUUCUUGAGUGAGUGAGAGGUAUGCGGAAUGCGUGGUGUAGCGGUGAAAUGCAUAGAUAUCACGAAGAACUCCGAUUGCGAAGGCAGCAUACCGGCGCGCUACUGACGCUCAUGCACGAAGGUGUGGGUAUCGAACAGGAUUAGAUACCCGAGUAGUC